CCAUUGAGAUAAUCUCAUGAAGCCAAUCAAGACCUUAUUGGGUUUUUCUACAUUUAUUUUGUUUAGUGUUGUUUUCUGUUUGAAUUUCCUAUGGGGAGGGAGCACCAUGACAUUUAUGCCUCAGGAUAUUAGGGUUUAAUUCCCCCUGGGGUCUUAGGACCUCUCCAGACCUUCCCCAGCGCGUAGGUACUAUGCCACCCUCCAAGAGUUUAGGAGGGGCGGUGAGGAAGGCCCCGCCACCCUGCUUCUCUAGGGGCUCCUGAGGCCGCGUUCGGGUGUUUCCCGGGGCAGUGGCCUGGUCUCCCCUGACCCGUGGCUUCCCAUGGACCAGCCCUUCAGACAAGGCGCUCACUGUCCAGGCAUGUUCCAAGCCACCGGCUCGAGUCUGAGCCAGCCCAGGCCUGUUGCAAUGAGUCAGCCUUUCACUGGGGAAAAACGUGGUGACUGGCCGGCAAGUCACUUUUUCCAGCUUGGCCGUGGUCCUGGGCUGGGUUUUGGGAGGGCUUCUUUUCUCCCUUUGGGAUUCUACUGCCUAGGGCAUGCUCCCAGGGGGUCCUGGGAAGCAUGGGGGCUGGAAUUCUUAUGCUGGGGGGUAGGUCGAGUUGCUUCAAUGGAGCAGGAUGAAGGUGUCCCUCCCCUACAUGAGAGAACGAGAGAACGUGGAGGCCACAAAGAUUGUAUCUGCAUCUGCUACACAGAGAGAGAAACAGCGAGAGCAGGAACACAAGCAGGUGGAGUGGGAGAGGGAGAAGCAGGCCUCCCGCCAAGCAGGGAGCCCGAUGCGGGAUUCGAUCCCAGGACCCGGGGAUCAUGACCUGAGCUGAAGGCAGACGCUUAACGACUGAGCCACCCAGGCGCCCCCAAUUCGUAGUUCUUAAGGACCUACUACUGUGUGGCGGGUACUGUUUUAGAUGCUGGGGAUAGAGCAGUACUUAAAUAAAACAGACAUAAGCCCCCGCCAUCAUGGAGCAUAAAAUACAUCAACAAAAUUGAAAAGCAGCAUUAUAAGUCAGGGAUCAUCACUCUACUUGGUAGCUGAAGUAACUGAGACAGGUGUUCAUUAUUGUCUGCGUAACCCCCAAAUCCCUUCCUUCGUGCUUUGUUGUCCAACAAAUAUUCUUUGACAACCUACUAGGAGUCAGGAGCUGUGCUAGGCACUGGGGCCCCGGGGUCACUGAAACGGAUGCAGUCCCUGCUCUCAUGGCAUCUACAUUCCUGUCAGAUUGCUCAGUCUUCCUAACCUGUAGCUGCUGCUGCCAGGACAAGGAACUGUACUGGCUUUGGCCCCGAGGCUGUUUCUCAGAAAAACCUGAAGCAGAAGGGGCAAGGCCAGCCGUGUGUGAACUAACCAAGUCGGUACAAGUGCUGGGGACCGUAGAUGCCCUUUGUUCUCCCUCUCUGGAUGGUGACCCCUGACCCAAGGUUUGUUGGAAGGAACUCUAGGGGAGAAGUCAUAGCCCUGGGUCUUAACCAUGUGCCUAGCUUUGAGCCAGUCAUCUAAACAAUCCAAGGCUCAUCCCUCAUCUAUAAAAUGGAAAGAAGCCCUUGACCUAGCAGCAGACUUGCAAGAUGGUGUGAAUUAAAAUGAAAUAAUGGCCCCAUGAGCAUUUUUUAAAAAAAGAUUUAAUUUAUUUGAGGGGCACCUGAGUGGCUCAGUCGGUUAAGUGUCUGCCUUCGGCUCAGGUCAUAAUCCCAGGACCCUGGGAUAGAGUCCCAUGUCGGGCUCUCUGCUCAGCGGGGAGUCGGCUUCUCCCUCUCACUCUCCCUUUGUGCUCUCCCUCUCUUCUCUCUCUCUCAAAUAAAUAAAUAAAAUCUUUUUAAUAAAAUCCUUAAAAAAGAUUUUAUUUAUUUAAGAGAGGGCACAAGCCGGUGAGGGGGGUUUGGGGGCGGAGAGUGGGACAGGGGCAGAGGGAGAGGGAGAAGGAGACUCCCCGCUGAACAGAAAGCCCCACAUGGGGCUCAAUCCCAGGACUCUGGGAUCAUGACCUGAGCUGAAGGCAGCCACUUCAUCAACUGAGCCACCUAGGCGCCCCUCCAUGAGCAUUUUUGGAUUUUUCUUCUGGGUCCUACAUUCUACGCUAGUGUCUUCCAGUUCUUCACUUCCUGUUACUACAGUGCUUCAGAAGGAUCUUAGAAAGUCAUUCCCAUGAAGGUAUAAAUAACUUAUGGGCUUUCAAGUCUUACCUCUCCCAGGCCUAGAGCCUUUCUCAUUAAAGAAAAACUGAUUCUGGACAAAAUGGAGUAACAGGGGCCAGUUCUACUCUCCCACCUGAAACAAUUAAAAAGUGCCUUAACUGUGUCCUGACAAAACUUGAUAAUAUUUAUAAGAGUGAAAAAAUAUCCAGCACCCAACAAGGUAAAAUUCCCAACGUCUGUCAUCCAUUCGAAAGAAUUUCCAGUGGCAAUAUCUUGGACAAGAAUAUUAGCCCCCCGAGGGCAGGGAUUUUUGUGUUUUAUUCCCCAGGUCCUAGAAAAGUACCUGACACAUCGUAGGCACGCAAUAACUCUUUGCUGAAUAAUGAAUGAAUGACAGGGGAUGUCAGGCAUCAGUGAGCAUAAUGUCCAGCCCGGGCAGGGGUCACCUCCGGAGUCCUAGAACCCACCCGGUGCUUACAGCCUGCCCGACAGAUACGGUCCUCAAAUCAGCCCACGCAUGGGAGAGGAGACCCUCUGAACAGCGACAGCCUUUAGGGGGAGGGAACCUCUGCCUCAAGAGCCCCGUCAUCACGUCAUCACGUCGGGAGGAAAAGGAAAGCUUCUACUCAGUGAUAACCAUCGCUGUGAACUCCUCCCCGCGGCACCCCCUCCCUGCAAGCCCCCGCCUGUUUACUGGAAGACGCGACCCUGUGUUCUACAUCCUGAGCACUGAGAGAUUUCAUCACUGGCUCAAGGCAAGACAGAGAAGCUGGGUGUCAAGAUGGGAAAACUGAGGCCUGCCAAGUGAAGCCACCAGGAUCCCAGAGCUGGCUAAUGGCAGAGUGAGGACCGGAGAGGCCAGGUUCCAGCCUCAGUCUUGCACCUAUAAAAUGGAUGGGCUGAAAGCCUGGGAAAUGUCAACUCUCCUGAGAUCCUGAAGGUGUUUGGCACCGUUAACAACCGUACAGAAACCACCUCGCUUAACCAGCACAAUAACCCUAUAAAUCAGAUACCUUUGUUAUUCUCAUUUCCCAGAAGAGACUGAGGCACAAAGAGAGUUAAGUAACUUGCUGCAGGGCACACUGUCAACACGUGCCAUGUGCUCCACCGUGCAUGCUGUGAAGCCCUAUUCCAGAACAUUCCGAGGAAGGGCAGAAGGGUAUGGCCAAAGAACUGCCAGGCACGCUAAUGAACCUGAAGGCGGGCUGUUGCAGCUGAAGCUUGAGAUGUGUUUGUAACACAAGGCAAGGCAGUAGAUUGUGGGCUGGGACCCAGGAGGCUGCUGGGAGUAACACUCGCCCCUGCUAAGGAGCCUGGACUCUUUGACUAGAGCGAAAUGCUAGAAGAUUUAAAGAUCAGCACAACACACUCCCCCACUUCCCUCCCUCCAUUUUAUGGAAGAGAAAACUGAGGCCGAGAGCACUUCCCUCCCUCGCCCGAGGCCACACAGCCCAGCUCCGGGGCCAAACUUGGGCUCCUGACUCCCACCGGCACAGGGCCCCACCUUCGGGAGUGCCUGCCCAGUGGGAAAGGAGAGCGCCCAGAACCGUGGCUUUCGAGACUUUACACCGAAGAUUAAAGAGUUAUCUGAACAAGAGAAGUUAAUCUGCUCUGGCUCCGUUCCCUCGCCCGCCCUGGGUGGACCCAAGUUGCUCUUCUGGCCUCACCCUCCCCACCCACCGGCCUCUUGUGAAGGGAGAACCUUCACGAGAAGAUGACUCCUCCAUAGAAAGCCUGGGCCUGGGCUUCAUCAGGGCCCAGCAACUAAGGAAAGGCGGCGGAUCAGAUGGGCUGGAGCCGGCCCUGGGUGGUAAAUAAAGUCCCUGGACACCGAAGCAGCUUGAUCUGUGAGAGUCCUGCCAGGGUGUGGCUGGGCAGGCGGGCAGAAGACAGACGGCCCUUCGGAGACAGUGCCUAUCUCUGCUCCCUGGGUUAAUGCCUGCCGCUGGUAGAUUGAUUCGUGUGCAACUGGGAGGGCAAUCCAGCCGAGACGUUUCCAAUCUGUCUUGUCCCAGCUUGACUGCAGGGCAGAGCAGUCUUACUGCACUCUGACAUCUGGUGGCUGGGGAGCCUGGGCUAAUUUGCAUGGAUGGAUUCAGACCACCUGGUUGGCUCAGGUGGCCAGGGAGAUCCUCCAUGUAUAUUCCAGAAGGCCAUGCGUAACUCACAGCAGGCACUGUUCUAGGACCCAGGGGCAGGCGGCACCGCCGGUCUCAUGGGACUCAUAUUCUAGGAGAGGGGACCAAAACGAUGACUAGAUGAGUAAUAAAAUAAAUAAUUUCAGAGACAGUGGAGAUGACUCUAGACCAGAAUUUUGCAACGUUGACUCUAUUGCCAUUUUAGGCUGGAUGAUUCUUGGUUGUGAGGGGCUGUCCUAUGCAUUGUAGGAUACUUAGCAUCUCUGGCCUCUGCCCAUUAGAUGCAAGCAGCAACACCCUUAGAUAUGACAACCAAAAAUGUCUCCAGUGUCAAAUAUUCCCUGGGGGGAAACAUCGCCCCUGCCUGAUUGACAAACCCUGCUCUAGACCAGAACUCUUUUUUUUUUUAAGAUUUCAUUUAUUUAUUUAUUUAUUUGACAGAGAGACAGC